GGAAUUAUUCAAGUAAAAACUAUAUAUGUCAUUCAUGUAAUAAAUAAACUGUAUGUGAAGAGUACGUUUUAUUAUGUUUUUUCACAUAAUAUUCAAAGGUUUCAUAGUCAUUGCACAUGAACUUAGAAAUACCAAGUAAGUUUUGGUAGUGUUGGGUGUUUUGAAUCCGCGCAUGCGCCUUGUGACGCGCAUACGGGACGCAUGCGCUUCGUUGUCCGCCAAAACACAAGAAGACGACGACGGCGGUCAGGUUUAAUGGAGGCAGGAGCAGCUCAAUCAUCUUGAAGCCCAAAGCAACAACUUUCUACAGUUGACACAGUGCCCUCUCAAGCAGCAACUACAGCAAGCUGUGUCACAAGCAAAGCCAUCUGGCUAUUCAGCCUCCACCGGAAAAGUUCUCCUGCUACAGUAUUUGAUUUGAACGGCUAAUGUAAGGAUAUCAGCAGAGAGGAAGCUCAAGAGGACCAGGCUGAGCAAGUCCUGAGGAUCUGUGUCUUCCACACAAGUGAAGAAGAUGAAGGUGCAUCCAACACUGAUGUGUCGAUUGUUAUUGAAGGGACUGAGGUACUUGACAACUGUGGAAGUGUUGCAAAAGCCUGUCUCCUGCUCAUGGGCAUCAUUUAUGCCAUGAACUU